rnacentral:lncRNA from 1 species
AUCGAUUGGACUCUUCAGAAAAUAAAACUACUUGGCUUUAGGAUAAUCUCAAUUAAUCAGCCAAAAAUAUAUUAGUUCUUGCAACCAUUCCCAACACCUUGCUCUCCUAACUUCCCUUCCCUAAUCAAGUAAAUUCGAAUCCAAAACUCAAAUAAAUUUUAGACUAACCUUAAUUAACAAUCUAAAUUUAUCACCUAAACUCUAUAUUAGCACUUUAUG